UACCCGUAAAAACCAUAUGCAUGAGGAGAAAAUGCUGGUAAACUAGCAUUCAUAGAUAUACCGACAAUCUGAAAGAAAAUUCAAUCUUAAACUGUUCCAUAACAAACAAACAAAAUUCCACAUAACUCUCAUUUUUUUAAUUCAGAAUUCUGAAAAUUAAAUAUCCUUGCCCAAUCACUCAAGGCACAAUAUUUUUCCAGAUAUUAAAUACAAUAUAAUGAAAAAAUUCAUUAAAGAAAAACCGAGUAAAUCAAUUAUAAACAUCGCUAUAAAAAAAUUCAGCAAAGAAAUAAUGAAAAAUCCCCAAAUAAUAAAUAAUCAAUCACGACAAUCUUGGAACAUAUAUAUUCAUUUAACAGGAAAAAUUAGAGAAAUUAAAAAGUAAUUAUGGUUAAAAUUGGGAAGGGAACGGGAGAGACCAACGCAAAGAGGAUUUCGAGAAUCGACCUUUAAAUGGGACGAGUAAUAAACGCAACCUUUAUAAGACUUCCCUGUGUGAAUAUUUGCUUUUGUAUUCUUUGAAGAUGUUGAAGAUUGUUCUUUCAGUCGAUCCAUAUCUUCCAUCUUGUAGUUGAUUGAUUCGUUUGACGUUUUUGCUUCCAAAUCCAAUCCCGUACUUCGAUUUCGCUUAUCUUCUUCACCCAAUUUUCUUCUCUUGUUCUAUGUAUUUAUGUUGGGGGGAAAUGGAAGAAGAG
rnacentral:lncRNA from 1 species